GCUUUGGCAGCACAUAUACUAAAACAUCUAGAGAAUCUAGAUCAAGAUCUAGAGAAGAUUAGCAUGGCCCCUGCACAAGGAUGACAUACAAAUUGGUGAAGCAUUCCGUAUUUAA
ensembl:snRNA U6 U6 spliceosomal RNA